UAGUGGAGAGCUCUGUGCCGUUGCUAUGGCAGAUUCUCUUUCAGGGAAGGAUAAAGAGAAGCAGUGCACAUGCUCAGAGGUGCGGCUUUACAUGUUCCCUUAGCAGUUUGCAGCAGCCAUUCAAGGAGACCAUCAGAAAGGCAAGGAAGACAUCAGGAGGAAGACUCAUCUAGCGAAAUGCUGAAGGCUUGCCUAAGCAGAGUGGACAUUUUAGUGCCUUUAAUUCUCAUAGUUGGGCUUAUUUCUGCAAAACCAACUACUGCUGAAGAAGAAUCGGGAACAACAAUUCCUGCUGAAAGUCGCCCAUGUGUUGACUGCCAUGCAUUUGAAUUCAUGCAGAGGGCUUUGCAAGACUUAAAGAAGACGGCAUACAAUUUAGAUACACGGACAGAAACAUUGCUUUUUAAAGUGGAGAAGAGAACUCUGUGUGACUGUUUAAUUACAAAUGCGUUGAAUUGAACACUGGAGAUGCACUUAGGAGUUGCUGGUUACUCAACAGUUUUUAAAAUAAUUACAAGCAUGUAAGCCCCAGGAUAUUCAUGAAACUAGAAUGCAAGAUGCUAUAUAGAACCACUUUUGAAGAAGAAGAAAAAACCCACAGUUUUAUUUUUUAUAGAAAGCACCAAUAUGGUAUUUAUUCACCCUAAGUCUGCACAUGUACAAUUUUAUUUAGCAACCCUCCUUACAUAUUUGGCAAUAAACCAAGGAAGAUUUGUAGAUGCAUUUUUAAAAGAAGUUUUCUGCAAAAGAGGCCUCCUUCACAAUGUUGUAUAGUACAGCCUGGAACGUUUCAGACUUGGCUACAUAUUUCAGGAACUUUACAGCAUAGGGCAUGUGACCUAACUGCAAUGACAGACAUUGAAGAGAACACCCUAAGGCAGGCCUGCUCAACUAAGGUCCCCCAGAUAUUUUUGGACUACAGUUCCCAUACUCCCCAGCCACAAUGGCCAAUAGCCAGGAAUUAUGGGAGUUGUAGGCCAACAUCUGCAGGAGGACCAAAGUUGAGCAGCCUUGCCCUAAGGCCUUGCAGGGGUAUCACUGCAAUAUUCCAUGAUUGUUCAGUUGAUGGUUUGAGCUCACAUAGGUGCCAGCGUAGGAAAUACCGCCUGAUCCCUGAAGGGGUGUGUGUCUCAAAACCCUUUCCUAUUGGUUGAAGGUGCUGGGGCGAGUUCAUAGAGGUGUCACAAAGAACCACAAGCAAUAUUUUAAAAAUUCUAAUAUUUAUUUAUUUCACUUUUGCAAUUUGUGGCAUGAUUUCCCCCCCUUAACAUUUUUUAAAUCCCACUCCUCAAAGAAUUGGAUUUAAAGAAGUGAAGUAAGCACAUAAGCAGUAAGAGGAUCUUAGGCUGUUUGAAGUUGAUGGCUCACAAUCACACAGUGGACAAUCUUCACUAGUAGCACUCAUUAGUAUGUAUUCUGUCUGAAUAAACAGAACCACAACCACACUCAAUGUCAGAAAAACUCUACAUCCAACAUAUUGCAACAGCUUUCCUCACUGUAAAAUGACACUGUCCGCUUCCUCACCCCUUUCUUCCUAACCAGCUUUCACUUCAGAUGAGAUUCUGUUUCAGAAUUUGAACUGUUGCUGUGCUCCACGACAGUUCUUCUUUGGCUUCAUGUUCAGCAGCCAGAACAUUGACCAGGCAUUCAUGGAAUACCUGCUGGAUUCAUGGAAUGCCUGCUGGAUGGCUGUGCUUUAAAAUGGUAGAGUGCAUGCAGUCCCCAAGGAAAUUCCUCAUAUACCCUGGACUUAGGGCUUGGUAUCAUGCCACUUGCUCCUGGCAGCCGGCUGGCCCACCACCUACUCUGGCCUGCUGCCACACUUCCUCCUGGUGGCUGGCCAGCCUGCCACCUCCUCCGGCCCGCCACUACGCUUCCUCCCGGCAGCCAGCUGGCGCGCCUCUUCCUCCGGCCCGCCACUGCACUUCCUCCUGGUGGCUGGCUGGCCCAGCCACUGGCAACCCGCCUGGCAUCGCUUUUUCCUUCCCUGUCGCUAUCCGGGCAGCUGCUCGCGAACUCUCACGAGAGCUGCCAUGCACGGGAUUAGCGAUGGGUAUGUUUAGGAGAAUAGAUAGACAGACAGAUAGAUAGACUAAAAGAGAAUGGUUCCUUGUCCACAAAGGUAGUACAGAAGGCAGUUGCAAACUCCAAUAACUUGGAUGUCAUCAAGAAUAUCAAAUUUCCUGAUCAAACCAAAAGUCCAGGUGCUGGCUAGAGCCUCAGUGUCUUGGAGGUGCCCCCACUUAGAAGAGUUUUUACCCUGGCAAGGUGCAAUGCCCUGCCUUCAGCCCUCUUAGAGGGCCGAUAUAGAGGGAUUCCCUAUGGGGAGAGGCUCUGCCCAUGUGGUGAGGGUCAAGUGGAAACAGUCACCCAUGUGCUAUUGGAAUGUUUGUUCUAUAGAGACCUGCGUCGGGAUCUCAUUUACCUUUUGAUAGCUAAAUGUCCAGGUCUUGAUUCUCCUCAGAUGAUUGACAGGCUGUUGGAAGGAAGUAAUUCCUGCGCCACCAGACAGGUAGCUAAAUUUUGUAGUGCAGCCCUCCGUUUGCGGAAGAGCUUAAUAAUGGGAAAAUAGGUGAUGGAUUUAAGGCCAGAGCAACUUGUAGCUAUAAUAUGGCUAGCUGCAGGUGGGCACACAGAUCCUGGUAUCACCUGUAUAUCAUCAGUAAAUCUAACGACAAUAUUUUCCCAAGCUCCUGAAUUGUUUAACCCCUCUCCGAUUUAGGAGUCGAGAAGGCAACUGGUUGAGUUUUGAUUUGUGUGUAAUAGUCUCAUAAGUAUGAAAUACUGCUGCCUCCUUUAUUUUUAAUUAUUUUAGUAGUAUUUUCGGUACCUUGAUCUACACUGAGGACUUUUAAAAAUUUAUUUGGUGUUAUUGUUUGUAAUAGAAGUUUGAUUGUCUUCUCUUUUACAUUUGUUUUAACCUCAUGCUGGUUGCUGACCGAAAUAAAGAGAUUAUAAUUACUCCUU